rnacentral:rRNA from 1 species
GUGCGAAAGCGUGGGGAGCAAACGGAUUAGAUACCCCGGUAGUCCACGCCGUAAACGAUGUCUACUAGCCGUUGGAGGACUUGAUCCUUUAGUGGCGCAGCUAACGCGAUAAGUAGACCGCCUGGGGAGUACGGUCGCAAGAUUAAAACUCAAAUGAAUUGACGGGGGCCCGCACAAGCGGUGGAGCAUGUGGUUUAAUUCGAAGCAACGCGAAGAACCUUACCUACUCUUGACAUCCAGUGAACUUUUGAGAGAUCAAUUGGUGCCUUCGGGAACACUGAGACAGGUGCUGCAUGGCUGUCGUCAGCUCGUGUUGUGAAAUGUUGGGUUAAGUCCCGUAACGAGCGCAACCCUUGUCCUUAGUUACCAUCAUUAAGUUGGGGACUCUAAGGAGACUGCCGGUGACAAACCGGAGGAAGGCGGGGACGACGUCAAGUCAUCAUGGCCCUUACGAGUAGGGCUACACACGUGCUACAAUGGCAUGUACAAAGGGUUGCCAAGCCGCGAGGUGGAGCUAAUCCCAUAAAGCAUGUCGUAGUCCGGAUUGGAGUCUGCAACUCGACUCCAUGAAGUCGGAAUCGCUAGUAAUCGUGAAUCAGAAUGUCACGGUGAAUACGUUCCCGGGCCUUGUACACACCGCCCGUCACACCAUGGGAGUGGGUUGCUCCAGAAGUAGAUAGCUUAACCUUCGGGAGGGCGUUUACCACGGAGUGAUUCAUGACUGGGGUGAAGUCGUAACAAGGUAGCCGUA